rnacentral:rRNA from 1 species
CUGUGUCCUGUUGCUCCCGGUUUACCCCGGUGCACUCUGGACAGACUGCCUCGCUUAAACGAGGAGGAAGGUGGGGAUGACGUCAAGUCAGGAUGGCCCUUACGGCCAGGGCUGCACACGUACUACAAUGCCCAGUACAAAGGGCUGCGCGGCGGCAACGCAGAGCAAAUCCUCAAAACUGGGCCCAGUUCAGAUUGUCGUCUGCAACUCGACGGCAUGAAGCCGGAAUCGCUAGUAAUGGCGCAUCAGCUACGGCGCCGUGAAUACGUUCCAGGGCUUU